UGGGGAAUCUUCCGCAAUGGACGAAAGUCUGACGGAGCAACGCCGCGUGUAUGAUGAAGGUCUUCGGAUUGUAAAGUACUGUCAUUGGGGAAGAACGGUUUUCUUGAAAAGAUUGAGAAGACUGACGGUACCAAGGAGGAAGCCCCGGCUAACUACGUGCCAGCAGCCGCGGUAAUACGUAGGGGGCAAGCGUUGUCCGGAAUUAUUGGGCGUAAAGGGCGCGUAGGCGGGCCUUUAAGUCCGGUGUGAAAGAUCAGGGCUCAACCCUGAGAGUGCAUCGGAAACUGGAGGCCUUGAGGACAGGAGAGGAAAGUGGAAUUCCACGUGUAGCGGUGAAAUGCGUAGAUAUGUGGAGGAACACCAGUGGCGAAGGCGACUUUCUGGACUGUAACUGACGCUGAGGCGCGAAAGCGUGGGGAGCAAACAGGAUUA
rnacentral:rRNA from 1 species